rnacentral:misc_RNA from 1 species
GUGAGUCAUCGAAUCUUUGAACGCACAUUGCGCCCGCCAGUAUUCUGGCGGGCAUGCCUGUUCGAGCGUCAUUUCAACCCUCAAGCCCCCGGGCUUGGUGUUGGGGAUCGGCGAGCUUCGGCCCGCCGCCCCCUAAAUCUAGUGGCGGUCUCGCUGUAGCUUCCUCUGCGUAGUAGCACACCUCGCACUGGGAAACAGCGCGGCCACGCCGUUAAACCCCCCACUUCUGAAAGGUUGACCUCGGAUCAGGUAGGAAUACCCGCUGAACUUAAGCAUAUCAAUAAGCGGAGGA